CCUUCACUGCACCCGAUGUAAGCUGCCGCCCCUUCCCCCCUUUCCUUCGCUUGAUUCCAUCGCCGUAACCACCCACAUUCGGCAAGGUCGCCAUGGCCAUACCUCAUGCUUGUGUCGCAUACGUCCUACUCCUACCACGCCUGCCGUGGACCUCUGGCCGCGUCCGACCGCGCGCGCCACACCCAGGGCGCGCCCGUUUGCAGCCACCUCACACGUGCCAUCGCAUGACCUCGCCUUUCCUCUACUGCUGCUCGGACGCCUUCCCUCGCUGCGGCGUCCCUGCCCGACGCCCGCCGCCCGCGCUCACCCACGUGCUCUGUCAUGUCGGGUCGCAGCCGCCGGAGCCAUGGCCGCGCUCACCCACGUGCCACUGCUCGUGCUGCGGCCGUCCUGCGCCUCGCCUGACCGUGCCGCUCCAGCCUUGCAUCCGCGGCAGCCCUCCCCCGCGGGGCCGCUUGCUCCUGACCACCGGACGCGCGCGCCUCCGCAGCCUCCCGCCCACGCUCGGCCUUGCCGCCGCCUCCGCCUGCCGCUAGCUCCGGCAACACGGCCCGGGACGGAUCCGGCCGUGCGCGGCGUUGCCUGGCCGCGUCCGCGCCAUGCCGCUGACUGCUGCUACUUUGCUGAACUUACUGCUGCUGCUUGCUCCGCCACAGAGCUACCGCUUGUACUAAUACUGAUGAGUACUGUAGCUAUGGCUAGCUUUAUGAAUAUUGCAUUAUUAGCCCUUUGUACAACCCCUAAACAUCGAUUAAAUAAUUGUUAACAGGUCCAACAAAAAUAUGGGUAGGUAGUAUGCUUGACAAACUUCAUUUUAUCCCACUUGACUAAAUCCAUUUGAUGCAUGUAUUAAAUACUAUGAAAAUCACAAAAUGCUAUCUUUUGUUAACAGAAAACAGUUUUAACCUCUAGCACUCUGUGUGGAGGCUGUAUGUGUGUGGUGUGUGGCCGGUUAUGCAACAGCCGUGUGUGGCCGGCCCUUGUUUAACUAGUAUAGCUUAGGAUUUUAAUUAGUGAUAAGUUAGUCUAAUAGUAGAUGACAUGUGGACCCACUGUUAGUUUAAAGAAAAAGCAAUUUUAGGAAGAAUGUCUAAGUCAAUGCCAUGUGGCCCCAUACACUAUUUAUUUGUUGACCAGUCAAUGGUUGACUGGGUCAACCCAGCCCCAACACCUUGGUACCAUAGCAUUAGGUGACAAAAGUAUUUUACUGAUUAAUUUCAAAAUAAGAAUAAAUUCUAGAAAAUAAAAUAAACUUUAGAAAUUCAUAUAAAAUAAUUCGUAACUCGAAUGAAAAUACUUUGUACAUGAAAGUUGCUCAGAACGAUGAGACGAAUCCAGAUAUGCAACCUGUUCGUCCGUCACACAUUCCUAGCAUAGCGAACACGCAACUUUCUCCCUCCGUUUCAUCUGUCCGAAAACGCGAAACACUGGGGGUAUUUUCCCGGAUGUUUUCUCCCUUCACCGUUAUCACCUCAUACCGCGUUAGGGCACACCUAGCACCGUUACUUGUCAUGUCAUGCAUCGAUAUACAUCUGUUUGCUUAAUAUUUAUUGUUUCUCCCCCCUCUUCUCUCGCUAGACACCAAGACCGACGCCGCUGCUACCCAGUACAACUACGGUGUUGACGACCCCUCUCUCUUGUCAGAGCAACCAGGCAAGCCCCCCCUUUGAUCACCAGAUAUCGCCUAUUCUUCUCUCUAUUGCUUGCAUUAGAGUUAGUGUAGCAUGUUACUGCUUUCCGUUAAUCCUAUCCUGAUGCAUAGCCUGUCCUUGCUACUAUUGUUGUUACCUUUACCUGCAAUCCUAAUGCUUAGUAUAGGAUGCUAGUUUAUCAUCAGUGGCCCUACAUUCUUGUCUGUCUGCCAUGCUAUACUAUCGGGUCGUGAUCACUCGGGAGGUGAUCACGGGUAUAUACUAUAUACUUUAUACAUGAUACAUGUGAUGACUAAAGUCGGGAUGGCUCGAAGAGUACCCGCGGUUGAUUCACGAAUUGGGGGCUGGAAGGACAUACUUUCCCGACGGCCCUCUGUGUGGAUCUUGGUGAAGCGACAGGGCAGGUUGAGACCACCUAGGAGAGAGGUGGGCCUGGCCCUGGUCGGCGUUCAUAGUUAUUUCAAGAUAACACGUUUAACGAGAUCUUAGUAUUUGAUCUGAGUCUGGCCACUGGCCUAUACGCACUAACCAUCUACGCGGGAACAGUUAUGGGCACUCGACGUCGUGGUAUCAGUCGAAGCCUUCGUGACGUCAGCGACUGAGCGGCGCGCGCCGGAUUGGACCGUAAGCCUGCUCUUGUAUUAAGGGGGCUAGUUCUGCUUCCGGCCGCGUUUGCAACGUGCAGGUGUGCAAAGGGUGAUGGGCCCAGACCCCUGUGCCAUAGGAUUUAGACCGGCGUGCUGACCUCUCUGUUGUGCCUAGGUAGGGUUGCGAUGUGUUGAUCUUUCGAGGCCGGGCAUGACCCAGAAAAGUGUGUCUGGACAAAGGGGAUCGAGCGUGUUGGGAAAUGUGGUGCACCUCUGCAGGGAAGUUAAUCUAUUCGAAUAGCCGUGAUCUUCGAUAACAGGAUGACUUGGAGUUGUACCUUGACCUUAUGACAACUAGAACCAGAUACUUAAUAAAACACACCCUUCCAAGUGCUAGAUACAACCGGUGAUCGCUCUCUCACAGGGCGACGAGGGGAGGAUCAUCGGUUAAGAUUAUGCUAUGCGAUGCUACUUGGUGAACUUACCAUCUACUCUCUUCUCCUGCUGCAAGAUGGAGGUUACCAGAAGCGUAGUCUUCGAAAGGACUAGCUAUCCCCCUCUUAUUCCGGCAUUCUGCAGUUCAGUCCACAUAUGAUACCCCUUUUUCAUUUGAUACCAAUGCAUACAUAUGUAGUGUAGCUCCUUGCUUGCGAGUACUUUGGAUGAGUACUCACGGUUGCUUUUCUCCCCCUUUUACCCUUUCCUAUACCCGAUUGCUGCGACCAGACGUUAGAGCCUAGGAGGCAGACAUCACUGUCGACGACGACUCCUACUACACUAGAGGUGCCUACUACUACAUGCAACCUACUGACGACGACCAGGAGUAGUUUAGGAGGAUCCCAGGUAGGAGGCCUGCGCCUCUUUCGAUCUGUAUCCCAGUUUGUGCUAGCCUUCUUAAGGCAAACUUGUUUAACUUAUGUCUGUACUCAGAUAUUGCUGCUUCCGCUGACUUGUCUAUGAUCGAUCUCUUAUAUUCGAGCCCUCGAGGCGCCUGGCUUGUAAUAUGAUGCUUGUAUGACCUAUUUUAUUUGUAGAGUUGUGUUGUGAUAUCUUCUCGUGGGUCCCUGAUCUUGAUCGUACACAUUUGCGUGUAUGAUUAGUGUACGGUCAAAUCGGGGGCGUCACAAUAACACAUAGUAGGUGACUAUAAACUUGCAAGAUAGGAUCAAUAAGUCACAUAUAUUCAUGAAAACAUAAUAGGUUCAGAUCUGAAAUCAUGGCACUCGGGCCCUAGUGACAAGCAUUAAGCAUACCAAAGUCAUGGCAACAUCAAUCUCAGAACAUAGUGGAUACUAGGGAUCAAACCCUAACAAAACUAACUCGAUUACAUGAUAAAUCUCAUCCAACCCAUCACUGUCUAGCAAGCGUAUGAUGGAAUUACUCACGCACAGCGGUGAGCAUCAUGAAAUUGGUGAUGGAGGAUGGUUGAUGAUGACGACGGCGACGGAUUCCCCUCUCUGGAGCCCCGAUCGGAAUCCGGAUCAGCCCUCCCGAGAGGUUUUAGGGCUUGGCGGCGGCUCCGUAUCGUAAAACGAGAUGAAUCAUUCUCUCCUUUUUUUCUCCCCGAAAGUGAAUAUAUAGACUUGGAGUCGAGGUCGGAGGAGCUUCAGGGGGGCCCACGAGGUAGGGGGCGCGCCCCCACCCUCGUGGCUAGGGUGUGGCCCCCCUGGUCUUCAUCUUUUGCAAGGAUUUAUUAUUAUUUUCAAAGAGAUGUUUCGUGAAGUUUCAGUUCAUUCCGAGAACUUUUGUUUCUGCACAUAAAUAAUACCAUGGUAAUUCUGCUAAAAACAACGUCAGUCCGGGUUAGUUCCAUUCAAAUCAUGUAAGUUAGAGUCUAAAAGAAGGUCAAAUGUGUUUGGAAAAGUAGAUACGAUGGAGACGUAUCAACAUUGAACCCACUUAAACGUUUUCUUGUCCUCAAGCAAUUCAGUUGAUAAACUGAAAGUGAUAAAGAAAAACUUUUACAAACUCUAUUUGCUCUUGUUAUUGCAAAUAUGUAAAGCCAGUAUUCAAGUUUUCAGCAAAGAUUAUGAACUAACCAUAUUCACAAUAACACGCAGGUCUCAUGUUUACUCAUAUCAAUGGCAUAAUCAACUACCGAGCAAUAAUAAUAAAACUCGGAUGAAAACACUUUUUCAAAACAAUCAUAAUAUGAUAUAAUAAGAUGGUAUCUCGCUAGCCCUUUCUAAGACCGCAAAGCAUAAAUGCAGAGCACUUUUAAAGAUUAAGGACUGACUAGACAUUGUAAUUCAUGGUAAAAGAGAUCCAGUCAAGUCAUACUCAAUGUAAACUAAGCAGUAAUGAAUGCAAAUGACAGAGGUUCUCUUCAAUGGAUGCUUUUUAAUAAGAGGAGGAUGACUCAACAUAAAAGUAAAUAGAUAGGCCCUUUGUAGAGGGAAACAGGGAUUUGUAGAGGUGCCAGAGCUCAGUUUUGAAAUAGAGAUGAAUAAUAUUUUGAGCGUUAUACUUUCAUUGUCAACAUAACAACCAAGAGAUGGCAAUAUCUUCCAUGCUACACACAUUAUAGGUGGUUCCCAAACAGAAUGGGAAAGUUUAUACUCCCCCUCCACCAACAAGCAUCAAUCCAUGGCUUGCUCGAAACAACGAGUGCCUCCAACUAGCAACAGUCCCAAGGGGAGUUUUGUUUGCAAUUAUUUUGAUUUAGUGUGCAUAAAGCAUGGGACUGUGCAUCCCGGUGACCAGCCAUUUUCUCGUGAGUGAGGAGCGGAGUCCACUCCUCUUGAGAAUAACCCGCCUAACAUGGAAGAUACGGACAGCCCUAGUUGAUACAUGAGCUAUUCGAGCAUACAAAAUAGAAUGUUUAUUUGAAGGUUUAGAGGUUGGCACAUACAAAUUUACUUGGAACGGUAGGUAGAUACCGCAUAUAGGAAGGUAUAGUGGACUCAUAUGGCGUGACUUUGGGGUUUAUGGAAUUGGAUGCACAAGUAGUAUUCCCGCUUAGUACAGGUGAAGGCUAGCAAAAGACUGAGAAGCGACCAACUAAAAAGCGACAACAGCCAUGAACAUGCAUUAAAGUCAAUGAACAUUGAGUGCAAGCAUGAGUAGGAUAUAAUCCACCAUGAACAUAAAUAUCGUGAAAGCUAUAUUGAUUUUGUUUCAACUACAUGCGUGAACAUGUGCCAAGUCAAGUCACUUAAAUCAUUCAAAAGAGGAUACCACCCCAUCAUACCACAUCACAACAAUUUUAAUAGCAUGUUGGCACGCAAGGUAAAUCAUUAUAAGCUCCUAGCUAAUUAAGCAUGGCAUAAGCAACUAUAAUCUCUAAUUGUCAUUGCAAACAUGUUUAUUCAUAAUAGGCUGAAUCAGGAACGAUGAACUAAUCAUAUUUACAAAAAUAAGAGAGGUCGAGUUAAUACCAGCUUCUCUCAUCUCAGUCAGUCCAUCAUAUAUCGUCCUAAUUGCCUUUCACUUGCACGACCGAAUGAUGUGAAUAAUGAUAAUAGUGCACGUGCAUUGGACUAAGUUGGAAUCUGCAAGCAUUCAAUAAACAGGAGAAGACAAGGCAAUAUGGGCUCUUUUGUCAGGUCAACAAUAAUGCGUAUAAGAGCCACUUUAACAAUUUAAUCAUGGUCUUCUCCUAUCGACCCCCAAAGAAAAGAAAAGAAAUAAAACUAUUUACACGGGAAAGCUUCCAACAAGCAAAAGAAGAACAUGAAAUCUUUUUGGGAUUUCUUUUUAAUUACUACUAUAAACAUGGAAAUUAAGCUGAUUAAAGGCUACAACUAACUUUUUUGCUUAAGGUUUAUCAAACACACAAGAAGAAAGCAAGAAAAAGAAAAUAAACUAGCAUGGAUAAUACAAUGAAAAAGUAUGAGCACCAACAUCUAGCAAUGAGUGUGUGAACAUGAAUGUAAUGUCAGUGAGAAAUACAUACACCCCCAAGCUUAGGCUUUUGGCCUAAGUUGGUCUAUGGCCACGGCUAGCCUGGCGGAUAUCCAAAAUAAUAGUUGGGGUCAUACUGAGAUGAAGAAGACUCUGAUUGCCACUGGUUGGCAAUCAUCUCCGGAUCCCACAGGUAAUUAGACUGUCGUGGAGGAUCAAAUUGUGGUUCCAACUCUAGCUCUGUGGCUGAUGUAGGGUUCCGGUAAGCGUGAAUGUCCUCCGGUGAGACGAGGUACUGGCCUGUAGAUAAAUCAAACAAGGAAGGAGCUGGCAAGGUGAUAGUCUCAGGAUGACAUUUAUCAAAGAACAAUUUGUGUUUCAGCUCCCCUUCCCUAUUCUUUGUAAUAAAAUCAUGCGCUACCAUACUCUUAUAAUCUAAAUAAAUAGUAGGCAACAAUUUUUCUUCUUUUUCAUAGUGCCUAAUAGGUAUCUUAUAGUGUGCAGCAAGGCGUGAAGCAUAGAUACCACCAAAGAUGGGUACUUUUGUACGGUUCAGACUUAACCGUUUAGCAAUAAUACCUCCCAUACUAACAGUGUCAUCAUGGAAUAAGCCAUGGAACAAAAUAAAAAUAUCAGGAACACUAAGGUUUCCACAGUUUACGCGACCAAUUAAGCAACGACUAGAAAAUAUUGCAAAGUAGCGUAAAACAGAAAAAUGUAUGCUAGUGAUUCUUGCAUCGGAAAUGUAACAUCCCAAAUUGUUAUACACUAGAUCAUCAUUGCAUAUCAUAUUUAUUGCAUUUUGGUUGAUCCUAGAAUUUUUUUUGCAACUCAAGGACCCUCGGAGAGAGUUGGGGAUUUCGUUAUUUUCAUAUUUGAGUUUUCUCAAAUUUUGAAAAUAGGAUCAUUUGAUUUUAUUUAUUUUAUCUUCAAUUAUUUUUAUUACAAAAAUAUGAGAGAGGGAAUAAAAUGACUUUCCCAAAAUAAAGAAAUAUUGAGGAUUUAAUAAAAAAAUCAAAUAAGAUUUUAUUUGGUUUCAUUUGCUAUUUUAUUUGAAUUUAGGAAAAAUGCACGUUUUUCAAAAUUGCAUUUAGGCCCCAAAUAAAUGUUCAUCCUGUGCGGCUUGAUUUUAGAUGCCGGGGAAAAUUUAUUUCGGAAUUUUUGGAGUCCGUUUAGUAGUCCUUUUGUUUUUUUUCGAGCGUAAGUUUUUUAAAAAAAAACGUCCGAACCGACCUACGGGUCGUGCUAGGCCCGGACUCCCCCGGACCCAGCCUUUAUAAGCCGUCGGCCCACCCCAGGACGAAACCCUAGCCGCCCACGCCCGACGCCGCCCGACGCCGCCGNNNNNNNNNNNNNNNNNNNNNNNNNNNNNNNNNNNNNNNNNNNNNNNNNNNNNNNNNNNNNNNNNNNNNNNNNNNNNNNNNNNNNNNNNNNNNNNNNNNNNNNNNNNNNNNNNNNNNNNNNNNNNNNNNNNNNNNNNNNNNNNNNNNNNNNNNNNNNNNNNNNNNNNNNNNNNNNNNNNNNNNNNNNNNNNNNNNNNNNNNNNNNNNNNNNNNNNNNNNNNNNNNNNNNNNNNNNNNNNNNNNNNNNNNNNNNNNNNNNNNNNNNNNNNNNNNNNNNNNNNNNNNNNNNNNNNNNNNNNNNNNNNNNNNNNNNNNNNNNNNNNNNNNNNNNNNNNNNNNNNNNNNNNNNNNNNNNNNNNNNNNNNNNNNNNNNNNNNNNNNNNNNNNNNNNNNNNNNNNNNNNNNNNNNNNNNNNNNNNCCGCCUUGCCGGAGCCGCCGCCGCCGUCCCGCCGGAGCCGCCGCCUCCGUCCCGCCGCCCGAGGUUUACCUCGAUCCGGCCACCGGUUUUCUCAGAAAAACCGUUCGGUUUUCAUCGGUCUUUUUUUUGUUUCGUUUUUUCUUUAGAUCGAUUUUUUUUCCGGUUUAGGAUAAUUAGUGAGCGUUCGCUCGUUCGUUCGCUUUAACGAACACGUUCUUCGUUUAGAUUCAGUUAACGAACGUUCGUUCGUUAAACUAUUCGUCGUUUUUCUUUUUCUCGGAUUAAAUCCGUGAUUUUCUGAUCGCGAUUUCUGAUUCGAUUUUCGUUUUAGUUUAUCUUUUCGCUCGUUUAUGGGAAUCAGGCGAUUCAAGCGCCUGGAGUUUCGUCUCGAAACCCUCUUUCCGUUUAACCAACUUAAACAAGUUUUUGCUUGUGUAAAAAUUGCAUUAGAUCCAGAAUAGUAAACGAAGCCUGUUUCUUUUGCCGUUUGUCUUUCGUUGCUUCGUCCGAUUCGAUUCUUUUUGCCAACCGGAGUUCUUAAGUUGAACUUUCUAGUUAAAUCUCUUAUUUGAGUUUUACCUGUGCAUUAGUUGAGUACUUAUUGUGUUCUUGUUUGUUUGCGAUAGAGUACCCGGAGUGCGCCGCCUGUUACUUCGAAUCGCUAGGUUUCCCGGAUCAUCAGCAAGGCAAGUAACACUUUGAUCAUACCUCCUACUAACCAGUUUUAUUGCAUUAGAUCAAUCCUUACACAUUGCAUGAUUAGGAUCUAAUUAAAUUGUGGGUUUGGGAAGUAGUUGAGGUAGUACCUAUUACCUGUCUAAUUAUCAAACCUUUGGGAGUUACUUCUACGUUUGCUUACUAUUGCUAUGCUAUGCUAGUAGACGUGGAUUGGGUGAGUGUAUCCAUGACAAAUGUGAGCUUUGUUAAUUAAUGGUUUACUUAAGGUGGCAAACUAAACACACAUCUAGGUGGAUUGAGGCACCUGGGUAUUCCAGGAUUGCCUGUUUUCUUUUGGACCGCCACCCAGGCUCAAAGGGAUCAUGAGAUUAUUCAUGCUAGAAACUUCCGUGUGCAGCCACAAGCUAUUAUGGGCUCUAGCAUAGUUGACUAAGUCGUGCGAACUCUUACAGUGGUAGACUAGCAGAUGUAGGGGAUGUAGGUGGUACGGUCUACCCAUCGUAAGGUGCUAGCGCUUCUGAAAGACUAUGUCUCGGUCAUCCGUUUCUCAAACACCGUGUAGUGCGAGAAACCAAACGGAGGCGAUCGAGUCUUGUGGGGAAAUGUGUGCAAACCUCUGCAGAGUGUAUAAACUAAUCAUGGUUAGCCGUGUCCCCGGUUAUGGACAUCUUGAGUAUCUAGUACCUGGAUUACCAUGUGAAUCUCAACAUGUUACUCUAAAGAUUAAUUUUGUUGGGUUUGUUUAAUGAUGAUGUUUAAUUGGGAUUGAGAAUGCUGUCAACCAUUCUCAAUGUUUAACAACCACCAUAAAAGUUAAAUAAAUUUAUUCCUUUGUAGUAGGGAAAAUUUGGCUUUACGAAAAACUGUAACCAUAGAGCUUUCCACCAUCCAAAUAUGCAUAUAGUAUAGCUGUUUCAUUCCAUUAUUCCCUAUGUGUUACAUUGCCAGCAUAUUCCAUGUGCUGACCCGUUUUCGGGCUACAACGUUAAUGUUGCAGACUUUUCAGACGAUGAUUAAGGAGUUUUAGGUCGUGGUUCUAUACUCAGUGAUGCCGUUGGAGUUGAUGGACUCACUUAUCUUCCAAGCCUUCCGUUGUUAUCGUUAUUAGAUGGCCUUAAGCCAUUUUUAUUGUAAUAAGUUAUCUUUGGAGACACUCGAUGUAAUAAGGGUGUGAUUGCUACUCUGCUAUAAAUCCUUCAAGUACUGUGUGGUGUCAGCAUUACUGAUCUAGG
rnacentral:lncRNA from 1 species